CACAUACCUAGAGGGAAGCGGAAAAAUGACAGGUGUGUGAAUAAACUCCGCCACUCCAAAGACGCCUGCAAUUCCACAGCUUUGGACAAAUUGCUGAUUACCUUGAGAAUGUCUGCGAGUGGCUCCCACCAUGGGAGGAGAACACUAACAAACCUCUGACCACAAAAAUGCCUUCUCGUUGUGGCAAGACCAUCCUAACCACCUGGCAGGGCAGCCUUGAGAGAUGCUCAAGAUGAAGAGGAAGGUGACAGCCACUAAGUCAACUCCAAUGACAAUCAGGCAAGAGAGGGUGCUGGUAAAUUCCCCUCAUUCUAACAGAUGCAUGUCUUUGGAAGCAGAUUUGAAGAACUGUUUUGAAACCCACGUGUCUACUGUAAUAACCAAAUGUGACACACGACACUGUGGGGCAGCUGCGGACAUUCAGGGUACUUUUGUAAGCGAAUCCCCUGAAUUUAGACCCAAUGGCCAUGGCAGACGACCACACCUCCACAGCAGGCAAGGGCCCGGCUUCAUCAGCACAGGAUGGUAAACGUGGGCUCAAAGCCGGAAGACCCUCCCUCAUGGACCGCAGCCUGCCCUCGCUGUGUGAACAUGCUUCUUUCCUUGCACCCUCCACGCUAUAAUCAAACAACUCAGUGUGUGUGUGUGUUUGCUCAGUGCCUGUUGCUGUGGGGGCCUGAGAGGUCUGUGAGAUCAGGGACUGUGCCUCUGUAACUCAUGAUGGGUCCUGAGGAACUAGCACUGGGCAGGGCAUAAAGGAGACACUGGAAAUAGUUCCUGAAUGAAUGACACUUGCCUGGCACUGUUGGACAAGCGCCUCUGGGUCAUUGGGCCUCAGUUUCCUCAUCCUUAAAGUGGAUUUAAUGAUGUCUUCUGUAUCACCUCACAGAAUUGUUGUGGUGAUAAAAUUAAAUAAAUGACAUAAUAUACAUUCUCUGGAAAGAAUAAAAUGACUGUUGAUGUGGGAUGGGUGGUGUUUCUAAGGAUUUAAAUUUCUUGGAACAUUAACACAUCAGUUCAUGUCCUUGGGCAGGUCUGGUGGUGGCAAGGAUGAAGUGAGGGUUCUGGCCUUUGGAAACCAAAAAACUUGUGACUUUGGGUACAUCACAAGCAGCUUUCCCUCUCUGCCCUCUAAAUCAAAAGCUCUGAGUGAGGGAGGUAGAACAUGAAGCCCAGGGCCUGAAGAGUAAGUGUGUGCAGUGGAGAGAAAGGCCUUUCAAGGAGCCAAGUGGAAGAAAGUACCUCAGACCACAUCCCCACCUGCAAGCCACACUGCUCCUCCCUCCACACAGGCUUCGGGCUUUAAAGCAGAAAGCUACAAAACUCGUGUUCCAGGGAUGGCACCUUCCCUACCCAUCAAGAGAGGGGACAGCUCCCUGAGGGAAUUAGUUGUUAGGGAGCCUGGGCCUCAAGGGCAAAUUAGCAGGGCAAUGCCCAGGAACACCAGCUUCAGCUGUGGGAGGUUAAACAACUGGGUCACACCCUGCAACUAUGACAAGCAUGCAUUAGAAGAAUGUGCCAUGCACUGUCCCCACGCUCUGCAGAAGUUCCUGACAGCGUCCCGGGGGAAGGUGAGCAGACAGGAUAUCUCAUUAUCCUUCCAUCUGGAACUCAAAAUGGGUUUAUCAUGAAAUCUCAGAUGAAAGGGUAGCCUUUACCACAUUAUUUUUGUCUUCAAACUCUCCAACUCUCUCUCACUAUGCACAUUUCCAAAUGUCUACACACAGAGUCUCUGUGUUUGGGAUUUUAAUUACAAGCUUUGCUUAAUAUCAAAACCACCAUGGAAAGAAGGUAUUAUUAUCAUCAAUUUACUCAGAAGGAAGAUAUUAAGACUCAGAAAAGACUGGUGACAUGCUCAAGAUCCUAACCAGUAAGUGCCAGGACCUGAGCCCAGGCUGGUCCCAUUCCAGGGCCCUCCCACCCACCACAGCUGCCAAGUCCCUCAUUCUGUGGCCAGUACAUCGUACAUCGCCUGCUGUAUUCUACAGUUUCCCUCUAGUUCAAGCCAGGCCCGUCUGCUCCUCCCUCCCCCUGUGCCCCAAACACCCUCCCAAGCCCGCCUCACCAGUGAACCACGUCCCAUCUGAACCCUGAUGGAGUUAGCUUCAACCUGGUUUUCCUGACUAAUUGUAUAAACUUUAGCUAUUUUAGUAAAUCUUCCCUCCUAGAGGAGAUGACCUGAUUUCACCAUACAGUUUGAAUUUUUAAUAUGGAUAUUGUUUUUAAAAACAAAGUAAACAAAUAAUGAACAGAAGAACUAAAAGCAAAAUUGUAAGUAGCAAAAGCUCAGAGAAGCAGGAGUUAGAGCAACAGCCUUAAGAAAUCUCAAGACCUCACCUUUCAUGUGGAGACAACAUUUAAAGUUUGUUAAAAUUUUUUUUCCUUAAAGUUUGCAGGGAAGAAUCAGAAAACUAAAAGCAAAAUGUUCAAAACUUAGUUACUCAUGAGGUCUAAAAAGUGAUUAGGAAGGGAGAAGACUUUCACAUUUUUAUGUCUUUUCAUAUUUUAGGGGGAAUUAUUUCUAAAAGCAUCAUUUCUGCUAUUUCAUAAUAAAAUUCUUAGAUCAAAAUUUAAAAAAUCUUUCAGGGCUAGGGUUGUGGCUCAGUGGUAGAGCAUUUGCCUAGCAUGCAUGAGGCACUGGGUUCAAUCCCUAGCACCACAUAAAAAGCUAAAGGAACUCAAUAAAGGUCUUGUGUCCAUCUACAACUAAAAAUAUUUUUUAAAAAAUCUUUCCAGGACUGGGGCUGUGGCUCAGUGGUAGAGCACUUGCCUAGCAAGUGUGAGGCCCUGGGUUCGAUCCUCAGAACCACAUAUGAAUAAACAAAUAAAGUGAAAAAUCCAUUGGCAACUAAAAAAAUUUUUUAAAAAAAUCUUUCCAGGGCUGGGGAUGUGGCUCAAGCGGUAGCACGCUCGCCUGGCAUGCGUGCGGCCCGGGUUCGAUCCUCAGCACCACAUACAAACAAAGAUGUUGUGUCCACUGAAAACUAAAAAAAUAAAUAAAUAUUUAAAAAAAAAAUCUUUCCAUUCACAAAAUCCUGAUAGUGACAUGAAAGAGUUAAAACUUUGAUUAAAUUUGUUGCUGUUGCUGCUGCUUUUCUUUUUCUGGGAACACAUCUGGGCUCAUCUGGGCACAGUUCCAGCCUUAAUGCCGACACUUGGAGCUGCCCUGUGAAGGUGGUGACAGCUCAUGGCAGUGACUGAGGGCUCUGGCUCAACAGCCCUUAGAUCUCCCAGGGGUGAGCUUGGUAUUUCUGGAAUGACAAGAGCUUUCUAAACUCCCCCAGCAAAACUGCUUCAGUUCAAUACGGGGAGUUCUGAGACUCAGGGCAACUUCCUUAUGGAACACACUGCGAGGGAAGGUCCCUUGGAGAGCCUAAGAACGUACUUGUCUAUAAACUAAGACUGGAGCCUAUAACUUCCUGAGGACCCUUGCACCUCAAUUAAACAGGGUUACCUCACGAAUAUACCGCAUCUUAUCUAGCCACUGCCUAAUGGAUGGUCAUUUAGGUUUCUUCAAACGUUCCGCCUUUACUAAUGAUGCUGCAAUGAACAUCCUUAAGAACAUCCUCUUGGGCCCAGGUACAAGUGUUUCUCCAGUGUUCACAACAGGGAUAAAGAACACGUGUAUUUUUAAUUGGGACAGACAGUGCCUUCCAACAUGGCCUACCCUGUUUUAGUUUCCCCAACCUUACUUGGCAAAGAGGGAUUUCAGGGCUGUCAGCAGGCCGCAGGUCCCCAAGCCGUUGGUGAGCCUGGCACAUCUGUCAACAGCUGCAGAUGCCAGACUGAAGAGCUUGUUCACAGAGUGGCUCAGCUCCUGCACACAGUCCAUCACUUCCCCGUGCUCCUGGUCAGAGGUGGACAAGCAAGAGCCACGUGAGACUCAAGAAUACCGUGACAGACAACACGAAGCAGGCAGCCCACCCAGCCCUCUCCUCUCCGGAAAAAUCACUUGAGGUUAUCGGAAAUACUGUCCUCAACCAGGACAGCUCUUCUAGAGCCCGAGCCCCAUGGAGAAGGACAGUUGAUGUGGCCAGUGACGCCACAGAAAUAACUCACGGCAGAAAAGCAUGACCAAAUGUCUAGGCUGUCCCUACAUUUUACAUCUCUUUCCCCUUUUCCUGUGAUUAUUAAGAUAGUACUUCCUCCUCUGGCUCUCAAGCUAGGACUCUAAUUCUCCAUACCAGUCACUCUAAAUAAAAAGGUAGCAGAAGGAAAAUGUUUCCCUCAAAAGCAUGAAAGUAACUGAAGCAGAAGGAACUUUCUAGGUAAAAUGGGGAAAUAGCAAGAGGCAGCAGAUUUUAACUUCUGUAAGAUCAGUUCCUAAAUGUCAACGCACUUCAUGCUGGACAACCUCAAGUGACAUGAAAACAAAAUCACCUUUAAAAGGAGAAGCGCUCGAUCCCCUCCCUCCUGCCCACACAGUCCCCUUAAAGCACUGUCCAUGGAUGUUAAGCUCCUGUGCCAUCCACAUCAUCUUCCAUAAACAGAAGUCCCCCUUAAAAAUAAGUUACUAGGGGGCUGGGGUCUCAGCUCAGUGGUAGAGCACUUGCCUAGCACAUGUGAGGCACUGGGUUCGAUCCUCAGCACCACAUAAAAAUAAAUACAUAAAAUGAAGGUAUUGUGUCCAUUUACAACUAUUAAAAAAAAAGUUACUAAAUCAGAGUAAGCUUUCCAAAGAAUUUAGGCCUCUCAUUUUACUAGAUCUCUAUGAGGGAUUUGAAAUGGAACACCGGUAGCAUAUUUGCGGCCUCAUUUUACAUUUGGAUGGCAAGAGCCCGUGAGGAUUGAAAGCCAUCUCCCCGCUCAGCUCUUUCUUUGUAUACUUGACCUCACCCCCAACCCUCUGCCAGACUUGGCCGAAAGAUCGGCACACAGAAUGCUUCCCAAAUGGCCAGUGGUGGCCCUGCCACGUUACCAAGGGCACAGCGCUGAUCUGGAUGAGGAGGUUGCUCUCCUCCAUCUCGCCGUACUUCAGCAGGUAGGGUCUAUAGGGUCCGUACACGGCAUCCACCAGCUCCACGACUUUCACCAGGUUGUGCUCCUCUUUAGGGAAUCGGAAAUUAAAAACAAUAAUGAACAAAGGAUCUGAAUUAAUUGCUACAGAGCAACGGGAGAGAGGUACACUACUGGAACUCUUCCUGUUUUAUCUUCAGGGGUGUCUACAUUUUGUUAAUCUGCUUUGAUCAUUCCAGGUAGCUUCUUCAACCUCAUUUCAGUAAAUAUUUGGAUACAUUUGGUUUUUGUGCAUUGUGUGCUGAAAAUACAAUUGAAAGUACAAUUAAGACACCCAUCCCCUUAAUCCUACAACCCUUGGUAGUUGAGGAUCCCUUCAGUGAAAACUCUGGUCAGGGUUAGGUUCUGCUACAGAGAAAGGUUCUGAAGGAAGUCCGUCUUACUCUUCCGAGUGUCCUUGGACUUUAGGGAAAGAGGAGAGCCCAAGUUUAGUUACAUACAAAUUUAAAACAUGUUUGUAUCCAAAAUGUACAUGUGCUUAUUCUACAGUGCAGCAAUUCAACUUCUAAGGAUUACACCCAAGGAGCAAACAAUAAUGCAGGGACACAGUGUACAAGCAAGAAUGUUCUUGAAAACACUGCCAGGACAGGGCUGUGGAAGCCAUCUGAAGGCGAUGAGUAAGUGCAGCAGCCUGCUGACUGAUUCCUCACAAUCUCUGCUCCCCUCCAACCUGUCCUCACACUGAAGUCAGAACACUCCCCAACAGAAGCCUGGCCACAUCACUGCCCUACUUGCCUCUUCCCAAAGAUCUCUACUGCUCUUCAGCUGGAAGUCAAACAUCUUUUCUAGAACCUGCAAAGCCUGACCUCAGGAAGUGGAAGAUGGUGGCAAUUAGGAGUGAAGGCCCUGGUUAUGCAUUCAGAUGCCUGUUCCCUCAAUAACAAAAUGAGGGAACUGAUGCCAACAAUCUUAAAAGGCUUUUGUUGAGUAGAUAAAAUGUGCCACAUGCCAGAUCUUUAAUAUUAAUUCUAUAGCCACCUCCUCCUUCACUCUUCCCCUGGCUUCCAGCCUCACAGGAACUUCCAGUCCCACGCUGAGCCUCCUGUGUGGAAGGACCCUCUGUUUCCCUACCUCUUUUCAUCCUGCUAAUUCCUUCAAUACUCAACCAGCUUGAUUCUGUUGGGCUCAAUUAUAAAUGCUUAGGACCACCUGUUUUCUUGAUAGUGCUCAUCUCACUUUCUAAUCAUACAUUCGUCAAGUGUGACGACCUGAUUCUCUCCCACUGCGUACUCUAGGGACGGUGUCUGCUUUUGCUCAUCUUUGCAUCCUCAGCUUCUAAACUCCAGUACAGUCCUCUGGUGUUUGAAUGAGUAAGUUAAAAAUAUGUUGACCUAUCCAGAAUGUGGUCAUGAAAAAUAAUUGCAUAUAUAUUUGUGUAUGUGUGUAUCCUGAUUGGGAACCAGGAUUCUCACUGCAGGAAAUGGGAGAUGUAAGUGCGCUUGAAAAAGCAAAAAGUAAAAAUUUUAUAGCAUUAAAUCUGACUGGGAAAUAUCAGUAUAAAUUGCCAAUUUUUUAAAAAAUAUGUAUUUCCUAGCUCUCUCCACCAAAAGAGCCUAGAAGUAAUGAUACCUCAGCAACAAUGAACAGCUGUGGUGUUCAGACUCUCAUUUCUAAAUACCAAUUUUCACCAGAAAAAACUAGUCUCCCUGGAAAAACAGCUGACUCCAGGUGAGGGGUAAAGGAAAGCACAGGUGCUUCUGGAAUAGUCUGUGCCAAAAAGCAAGGAAGCAUUCAAAGACUGAUUAGAGACAUGCCAAAAAGAUAUGAGAGUCAGCUGAAUGGGGACCCACAGUCCAAAAAUGAAAUAAUUUGGACAUCAAAAUGAUUGGUAACAAUGAGGGGGCUGGGGAUAUAGCUCAGGUGGAAAAGUGCUUGCCUCAAAUGCACAAGGCCCUGGGUUCAAUCCCCAGUAUUGCAAAAAAAAAAGGAUGAUAACAAUUAAAUCAUAACACACUGGAUUUUUUAAAAUCCAUGAAUUUUUGUCCAUCAAGUGGGCUUCUUUGUAAGUAUUAAAAAAAUAAUAAAAUAUUUUUAAAAAUCCAUGAAUUUAUAGUGACAUCAAGGAGGCAGAAAGGGGGGCUGGGUGUGGCUCAGUGGUAGAGUGCUUGCCUAGCAUGCAUGAGGCACUGGGUUCGAUCCUCAGCACCACAUAAAUGUAAAAUAAAGACAUUGUGUCCACCUAAAAAAACUUAAAAAAUAAAUAUUUUUUUUAAAAAAAGGCAAAAAGGGAAAUUCUUCUUCAUAAGAGAAUGCCAGCAGAUAAUUGUAGAAUGAAUGAUAUAAUUACAAAAUCACCAUUUUACAAUCAGCACUGUAAGAAUUCAUUAAGGCAAGGCUCAUCGAUGGGUGCUGAUAUCACUGGGCAAUUGUUUCUUGGGGAAUGGCAUAUUCCUAUGAGCUCACAGUAUCACCCCACAAAUUACCUAAUAAUUACAAAGAGGAAAAGGUAACGACAAUGGGGAGAUCUGGAGGAUACAUUUACAAUGUGAUUAAUCUAACCUGUCACCGGCAAUUCGACAUUAUGUGUUUCCUGAGGUGAUGCAAUGGGAAGUCACAUCAGCAUCAAUGCAACAGUUUUGCUAAAAAUGUUUGAGAUAAAUCUACUAAUAAAAGCCUGGAAUGUGGGGCAUUCCAUAAGAAAACGACCUUUUCUUCUUCAAAAACGUCCAUGUCAUGAAAAACAAAAAAGAAAAAUGAAAUGACUGUUGUAGAUUAAAAGAGAUUAUAAUCUACAGAAACAGGACAAUCGAGGCAAUGUAUGUACGUGAACCGGAUGUCUGUGCAAGGCAGAGGUGGGGAAGCCGCUAUGCAGACACCUGUGGAACUGGGGAAACCCGAGCACUGACUGCACAUUAGCUGACAAUAUGAAAUCAAAAUUAAAUUCUUGGGUGUGAUAAUAAUAUUCUACUGAAACCAAAUUUAAGAAUAUAAACAUACGGAUACUCAUACGCAAAAUCUGCACAUACAUAUAAUCCCAAAAUGCUGUUUUAGAAGGCAGGUUGAGGAUGAUUUUUUUUCCCCUUCCUUGUAUUUUCAGGAUUUAUCUAUAAUAAAUACAUAUUGCUUGUUAACUAUAAAAUCAACUUAAGUUACAUUUUAAAAAUUUGCUUUCUUUUCCAUAAUCUUUUAUAUUUUAAAUUAUAUCAUGUAUGGGUAUUUGUUAGUAAAAUAACAGAAACAUGUUAAAGGUAAAAUAAAAGUUAGAAAAUAUAGCUGAAAUAUAUUUGAUAAACAAUAGGAAAAAGUCCACUACAUAAGAAUCUUUUAGGAGCAUGUCAAAAUUUUAAACAUGGUUAUUUCUAGCAAAUAGGACUAUAGGAGACUAUGUAACAUAUAUUUUUGUUGCUUUUUACAAACAUAUGUAAUAACACUAUUUUAAAUAAAUUACUCUAAGAUAUUAACAAGAAAUAGAUUAAAACUCCAAGCAAAACAGGCAAAUAAGCAACCAAAAAAGAAAAAGAGAUCAUUUUAUAAUAUAAUUUUCAAACUUGCUAAUGCUGAAGUAAAUUAAAAUGAUAUAUUAUUAAUUGUAUAAGAAUCUGACAACGAUGGAAGAGGCAGGAGCGACCUGGUGCCUUUAUUCACUACUAUACAAAAAUUGGCAGAAACUUUCUAAAGAGCAAAGUAGGAAAAACAUCUUUCAAUUUUCCACUUCUUCAUGACUACAAUUUAAAAUUUAUCCUAAGGACCAAUCAGAAUUAGGUUUAAACAUUAAUGGGUAAUAUAGUUCAUAACAGUUGUACUUAUAAUAGUGGCUAAAAAAUUAUAAGCCACUGCCAGGUGCGGUGGUGCACGCCUGUGAUCCCAGUAACUCGGGAGGUUGAGACAGGAGGAUCAUAAGUUCAAGGCCAGCUUCAACAACUUAGUGAGACCCUGCCUCAGAAGAAAACAUUAAAAAAGGGUUGGGGAUAUAGCUCAGUAGUAAAGUACAGAUGGGUCCAAUCCCCUAUACAAAAAAAAGAUUAAUUUAAAAAACAAUUAAAUAUAAUUGUUUAUAAUUAAAUAUAUAAUUUUUAAAAAAUUUAAAAAUACGUGUGUGUGUGUGUGUG